rnacentral:tRNA from 1 species
GCUGAAGUAGCUCAGUUGGUAGAGCACGUCCUUGGUAAGGACGGGGUCACGAGUUCAAUUCUCGUCUUCAGCU